GGACAAAUAACAACGGCCUUAAUAAAAAAGCAGCCGAAAGCAAAGAGCCAUACCGUUUAAUCCCUCUCCACGACUCCGCUUUUUCCUUUUUUCUCUCUUAAAUUCGCGCAAUCUCUAAAAUCCAGUCGCCGUCGCCGUCGUCGUCAACAACAACAACUCAAUAGAAAGAAAGAGAUAAAUAAAUCAGAGAUGGACACCACAACCACCACCACCACUACCACCACCACCACAAAUCCUAAUAACAACAAUUGCAAUUUCAUGUCAUGUGAGAAGCUGGAUCGGGUCGCCAGUUGGGUUGGGGUCAACGUGGCGUCUGCUUUCUUUGCUUCCCUUGAAAGAUGCUCUUGCAUCAACCUUAACACCACCGAUCUUGAAGACGAUGAAGAAGCCAGGGACCGUCCUCUCAUGCUCACCAAGCCUUCGGCCCACGAUCACCACCUCGAUGCCCAGCCCACCAUCAAUAGCGAUGCCCCUAAGCUCUCCGUCUGAUCAUCAUGAUGAUCAAGAUGAUAAUUACCCAUCUUUUUUAGGGUUUGUUUCAUUUCUGUAGCACUUGGACGAAAUAGUUAUAUAUUAUAAUAAUAAUAAUAAUAAUAAUAAUAAUAAUAAUAAUACCCGUUACUCUUGCUGUUCUUCUCUUGUGUGUUUAGUGCUGUAUUUUGAUGUUCUAUCAAUCAAGCAAGAUAUUUCCUUUUCUUUUGUUAAUCUUGCUAUGAUUAAGAUGUUCUUUAUUGUAAUUUGUGUGUUUUUGCAAAAUUGAUCUUUAUUUUUACCGAUUGCGGUGUGGUUUUUAUGAUAUUCUCUCAGCUAGAACUCUCAAGCCCUGUUCUUUAUUCGUUAUGAUCGUCAUAAUUCAUUGUCUAAAAAAGUUUUUCGUGGCCUGUGAAUUGUAAUUGUAUAUGAUUGCAAUUGGAGAUUCUCUUAAUUCGAACGAAUUGUUUAUAGGAACCACCUUUAAGAACAGGUUUAGACUUUAGAUUUCUGGUGCCUGUUGCUUUCUCUCGGUAGGUAGUUGGUAUUCCUUUUACUUUCAUGCAGGUUAUUACUGAGUGUAGGUGAAUAUAGUAAAGGUGGAUCUUUCGAGGAAUCUAAUCCUCGUAUCUUCAGCCGUCUAAAUUAUGUGACUGCUUUUAACUUUUGAAACAUCAGUGCGACGUGGAUUGAAGGUAAGACUAUACCGCUACUGGGUACUUUUCGUUCUAUGAUCCUGUGAUAUCUCUGUUUUUAUACUGUCAUGGUGGCAUUGACUGGGAUGCAGAAUAAUAAUGAGUUGUGCUAUUGAUCGGAAGGGAGUUUUUGUUCUUGAUCACGCCAAAUUAUUGUUUGCCAAAUUAUUUCAUUCAUUCUGAGGCCAUGCUUUUCCAAACUUAAUCAUUGAGAUUUUAGAUAGUAUUAAAUGUAGACAUUUUUCUCUGCAAAUAGUUAGUGCUUUCUUUUUAGAGUAGUCAACGUUGAAUCAUGACCUGAGCUUUAUACUAAAGUAAGCGAUGAUAUUUGUCUAAUGCAGGGAUGGUGUUUUUGGACUGGGCUGAAGAGAUCAAACACUAUUUUUUUCCUUUGGAAUUUUAUAUUUCCUGCCAUUACAAAUUUUAGCCGAUAAGUGAAAAACAAUGCAGUUUAGCUAACCAUUCAGAGAAUCUUAUAAUAGAUCCAUCUUUGUUAUAGUAAACAACAAAAGCUACAAGUACUGGUUCCUUAUAUCAGUCAACAGUAUCAGCAUUCAAAAAAUAUAUCCAAUUGUGGAGUGAUGGGAUUGUUGGUAUUAGCCAGCAAGACUACUAUGGUGGCACCGGAUCAUUUAUUUUGUGACUGAGAAUGCUAUGUGUAAUUAUAUGCAUUUGCUAGGGAAUGGCCAUCCAGAAAAGGAAAAAAAAUAUGAAAGAAAAAGUUGCAGCAUGGUUAAACAGCAUAUCGAUGAAAACUUAUUUAUACUGCAUGGGUGGCCAAAGUUUGAAUUGUUUGCAGUGUGCAGCACUAGAUAUCAAACACAAAUGGGUGGUCUGAUAAAGUUAUGGAAAGGUGAUCAUUUAUCUCCAUGGUCCCUCCAGCAAACCAGCAUCAACACACAGCGCAUGAUAACAUAUAGUCUUCCUCUCUUCUCUUUCAGACUCUUGCUUGGAACCUGAACUUUGCCUCGUCUUCUAAGUGUAAAAGCUAGACAUGGUUUGCCCAUGGCUCUGUCUCUGUUGCCCUGUAACAAAUUAGAUAAGCUAAGAACAAAUGGAAAAAAGUUUCAUCACCUUUGUUCCUCAGCUCUUAAAUAAUCCUUCAUCUGUAGCAGUAUAUACGGUUUGUUUCUUACAAAGAUGCAAGUCACAAGGGCUUGCUGCAAAUUUUGUCUUCGAGUGCAGUAGCAAGUACUUUUUUAUAUUCGUUGUAAUUUGAGUUUUGGAGCCAGUGACUCUGAUGAUAAAUAAAAUAAAAUAAAAUUGAGGAUCAA